rnacentral:rRNA from 1 species
AUUGAACGCUGGCGGCAUGCCUAACACAUGCAAGUCGAACGAGUGGCGGACGGGUGAGUAAUAUAUGGGAAAGUGCCUGCUAGAGGGGGAUAACUACUGUAAACGGUAGCUAAUACCGCAUACUAUCAGAUGUGCCGAGAUGGGAUUAGCUGGUUGGUGGGGUAACGGCUCACAAAGGCGACGAUCCCUAGCUGGUUUGAGAGGAUGACCAGCCACACUGGGACUGAGACACGGUCCAGACUCCUACGGGAGGCAGCAGUGGGGAAUAUUGCACAAUGGGGGAAAGCCUGAUGCAGCCAUGCCGCGUGUAUGAUGAAGGCCGUCGGGUUGUAAAGUACUUUUGGCAGGGAGGCGGUAUCUGCAGAAGAAGCACCGGCUAACUACGUGCCAGCCGCCGCGGUAAUAC